GUGAAUCAUCAAAUCUUUGAACGCAAAUUGCACUCCCUGGUAUUCCGGGGAGUAUGCCUGUUUGGGGGUCGUUAGAAGAAAAAUCUAAGCAUCGCUCUUUUUUUUGAGGGUGAUCGCGUCGGUAUUGAUCCGUUUUUCAAAUGUUAAUUCAUGUCAAUUUGUAUUAAAAUUCAUCCCUUCGGUACGAUUAAAGCGUAUUUAAGUUCAAUUUUGAUUGAGAAC
rnacentral:misc_RNA from 1 species